GCUUACGGCCAUACCAGCCCAAGAAUGCCCGGUCUCGUCUGAUCUCUGAAGCUAAGAAGGCUUGGGCCUGGUUAAUACUUGGAUGGGAGACCUCCUGGGAAUACCAGGUUGCUGUAAGCU
ensembl:rRNA 5S_rRNA 5S ribosomal RNA